UAGAAAAAGAAUUGCUGCAUGGUUGCUG
rnacentral:piRNA from 1 species